GAAAAUGCAGCUGGCUUCUUUCCUGGAAGAUCCUCAGUAUCAAGACCAACAUUCUUUGCAUACAGAGAUCAUAAAAACAUUUGGUAGAGUUGGCCCUAACGCAGAACCCAGGUUCCGAGAUGAGUGUCAGUUUUAGAAUUAGCCUGUCUAAGUUAGGCAUGGUGCCACGUGUCUAUAGUCCCAGCUACUCAGAAGCUGAGGUGGGAGGAUCACUUGAAGCCAGGAGUUCAACACCAGCCUGAGCAACACAGCAAGAUAAGUCCCUACAAAAGAUGUUUAAAAAUUAGCUAGGCAUGGUGGCACGUAUCUGUAGUCCAUCAACUCGGGAGGCCAAGGCAGGAAGAUCACUUGAGUCCAAGUGUUUGAGGCUGUGGUGCACUAUGAUUGCACCUGUGAAUAGUCAUUGCAUUCCAGCCCAACCAACAGAGCAAGACCCCAUCUCUUAAUAAAAAAGAAAGAAUGAUAUCCAUCUGGGUUAUUAUUAAAUCAUCUCCUGGUCCUUCAUCUCCUACUGCUUUUAACCAUCUGUCUACAUCUGAGGGGUUAACUGUUAAGUGAAUUAAUUAAUACAUAUGUGGUAGCCCAGGACAAUAUGUGUGUAGUGAAAUCUGAAUUCUAUAGUAAAGUUCUGUCUGUCUUCCUGAGAAUUA
rnacentral:sRNA from 1 species